rfam:Selaginella moellendorffii unplaced genomic scaffold SELMOscaffold_4, whole genome shotgun sequence.
GGUCCUAUGGUCUAGUGGUAAGGACACUGGACUCUGAAUCCAGUAGCCCGAGUUCAAGUCUCGGUAGGACCU